CAACCACAGGGGCAAAGGGUAGAUAAACACUCAGGCCUCAAUCAUAGCCUGUUUCUCAUGUUUGCUUUUCUCUUUUAAUGGAACAAAAGCAUAAAGACAUAUGUGAGGCAAUCUGGCAAAUACACAGGUGACUCUUGCCUACUACACAACCCAAAGGAAGAACCUAAAAAUUCCUACUGGCUUCAAGCUUCACGGCAGACAUCUGAAAAGCAUCUUCAGGUCCCUGCCGUGCUGGUCUCUCCAACACUGUGGCUUCUUUCACCAAAGUCUGACCCUCAGAAGAGCAACAGAGAGUACCUGCCAGCAAGA